GAUGAACGCUGGCGGCGUGCUUAACACAUGCAAGUCGAACGGGAUCCAUCAGGCUUUGCUUGGUGGUGAGAGUGGCGAACGGGUGAGUAAUGCGUGACCGACCUGCCCCAUACACCGGAAUAGCUCCUGGAAACGGGUGGUAAUGCCGGAUGCUCCAGUUGAUCGCAUGGUCUUCUGGGAAAGCUUUCGCGGUAUGGGAUGGGGUCGCGUCCUAUCAGCUUGACGGCGGGGUAACGGCCCACCGUGGCUUCGACGGGUAGCCGGCCUGAGAGGGCGACCGGCCACAUUGGGACUGAGAUACGGCCCAGACUCCUACGGGAGGCAGCAGUGGGGAAUAUUGCACAAUGGGCGCAAGCCUGAUGCAGCGACGCCGCGUGAGGGAUGGAGGCCUUCGGGUUGUAAACCUCUUUUAUCGGGGAGCAAGCGUGAGUGAGUUUACCCGUUGAAUAAGCACCGG
rnacentral:rRNA from 1 species